GACGAACCGUGCGAACGUUGUUCGGAAUCACUGGGCUUAAAGGGCGCGUAGGCGGGCUCACAAGUCAGGGGUGAAAUCCCACGGCUCAACCGUGGAAGUGCCUUUGAUACUGUGAGUCUCGAGGGAGGUAGGGGCGUGCGGAACUUCCGGUGGAGCGGUGAAAUGCGUAGAUAUCGGAAGGAACACCAGUGGCGAAAGCGGCUUCCUGGUCCAGCACCGACGUUCAGGCACGAAAGCGUGGGGAGCAAACAGG
rnacentral:rRNA from 1 species